rnacentral:rRNA from 1 species
CCUACGGGUGGCUGCAGUAGGGAAUCUUCCGCAAUGGACGAAAGUCUGACGGAGCAACGCCGCGUGAGCGAAGAAGGUCUUCGGAUCGUAAAGCUCUGUUGUUAGGGAAGAACAAGUACGGGAGGAAAUGACCGUACCUUGACGGUACCUAACGAGGAAGCCACGGCUAACUACGUGCCCGCACCCGCGGUAAUCCGUGGGUGGCACGCGCUGUCCGGCACCCUUGGGCGCAAAGCGCGCGCAGGCGGUCGUUUAAGUCUGAUGUGAAAUCUUGCGGCCCAACCGCAAGCGGUCCUUGGAAACUGGGAGGCUUGAGUGCAGAAGAGGAAAGCGGAAUUCCACGUGUAGCGGUGAAAUGCGUAGAGAUGUGGAGGAACACCAGUGGCGAAGGCGGCUUUCUGGUCUGUAACUGACGCUGAGGCGCGAAAGCGUGGGGAGCAAACAGGAUUAGAUACCCCAGUAGUC